rnacentral:rRNA from 1 species
GCUGCACCUUUACUUGAAGUCUAUGGUAUUAUCCAUUUCCUGAAAGUUUCCUACUAGAACUAACCGACAACAGCGGUAUACAAACUGAUUUCAAAAUAUAGCAAGUUUAUCGUGGACCAUCGUUUACAGGGCAGGUUCCUCUAAUGGGCUAUCUCGCCGCCAAAUCCGUUAAAUUUCAUAAAUAUUAAUGUUCCGGGAAAUUAUAAUUAGCAAGUAAUAGGGUAUCUAAUCCUAGUUCAAAACGCCCUUAAAUUAUUUGAAAAAUGUUCAUUUUUCAAGAUUAAAAUUCUACCUAAUAAUCUUAUCUAAAUCACACAGAAUUACAAAUAAAAUCCCAUAAAAAAAUUUUAACUUGUGUCUUACGUAUAACCGCGGCUGCUGGCACGCUAUUUUCCGACACUUUACUUUUAACUAGUUAAAAAUUCCUUUCACAACUAAUAAUCUUUACUGAGCAUAACCAUGAAAAAUAUAUUUACUAAAACAUUUCCCACCUUAAUUAACAUGUAAAAUCAAAGUUUAGCUAAAAAAACAACACGGAUCUAAACGAUCUAUAAUUAAAUAGAAAGAUCAUUCCAAAAUU